CUUUGAUCCUCUCUUGCAGAUCAUAUCUUGAUGUUGCAGCUAGACCUUCACUCUGCCAUUCGCCUGGUUUUUUAAGAUUCACUUCCAGUUCUAGGUUCAGGAUGCAACCCCCGAAAGUACUUGUCUGGCAAAUGUGGAACAUUGAGUAAAGCACUUCCAUUUAACAUUAAAGGCAAUAUGUAAAUUAGGACAGGAUAUCAUUCGAC